rnacentral:rRNA from 1 species
UGGGGAAUUUUGGACAAUGGGCGAAAGCCUGAUCCAGCAAUGCCGCGUGUGUGAAGAAGGCCUUCGGGUUGUAAAGCACUUUUGUCCGGAAAGAAAUGGCUCUGGUUAAUACCUGGGGUCGAUGACGGUACCGGAAGAAUAAGGACCGGCUAACUACGUGCCAGCAGCCGCGGUAAUACGUAGGGGCCAAGCGUUAAUCGGAAUUACUGGGCGUAAAGCGUGCGCAGGCGGGUUGGCAAGACCGAGGUG